AGAAAAGGAGAGAAGAAGAAAAAGCUUUAGGAGAAGAGCGUGAGAGGAAGAAAAGGAUAGAAGAACAAGAAAAAGCUUUAGGAGAAGAGCGUGAGAGGAAGAAAAGGAGAGAAGAACAAGAAAAAGCUUUAGGAGAAGAGCAUGAGAGGAAGAAAAGGAUAGAAGAACAAGAAAAAGCUUUAGGAGAAGAGCGUGAGAGGAAGAAAAGGAGAGAAGAAGAAAAAGCUUUAGAAGAGCGUGAGAGAAAGAAAAGGAGAGAAGAAGAAAAAGCUUUAGGAGAAGAGCAUGAGAGGAAGAAAAGGAUAGAAGAACAAGAAAAAGCUUUAGGAGAAGAGCGUGAGAGGAAGAAAAGGAGAGAAGAAGAAAAAGCUUUAGAAGAGCGUGAGAGAAAGAAAAGGAGAGAAGAAGAAAAAGCUUUAGGAGAAGAGCGUGAGAGGAAGAAAAGGAUAGAAGAACAAGAAAAAGCUUUAGGAGAAGAGCGUGAGAGAAAGAAAAGAAGAGAAGAAGAAGAAAAAGCUUUAGGAGAAGAGCGUGAGAGAAAGAAAAGGAGAGAAGAAGAAAAAGCUUUAGGAGAAGAGCGUGAGAGGAAGAAAAGGAGAGAAGAAGAAGAAGAAAAAGCUUUAGGAGAAGAGCGUGAGAGGAAGAAAAGGAUAGAAGAAGAAGAAAAAGCUUUAGGAGAAGAGUAUGAGAGAAAGAAAAGAAGAGAAGAAGAAGAAAAAAAAGCUUUAGGAGAGGAGCAUGAGAGAAAGAAAAGGAGAGAAGAAGAAUUGGCCGACGAGAGGGAGAAAGAAAGGACACGUCUGUUGAAGACAUCUCAUACAGUACCGAAGACAAAACAUAAUUCAGAAGUCAAACAUUACAGCAAGGCUCAUAAGGAUCACGAGCACCACCACAUCCAGGCUUCCAUCUCCACGGUGCUACACACAGUCAAAGACUUCUUCUUUGGUAAGAGCAAGAAGGACUCUCAUGAUCACAUGGAGAACAAGGAGAGAGAGUUUGACCACUCGCCUGCCUCGACGCCACCAUCAUCUCGGCUGCAAUCAGAGCAAAAUCAAGUGGGCAAACCUCCCACAGAAGACAUUGUGGCUAUGGAAAUAGAUAAACCGAAAGAGCCUUCAGAGACUGUGGAUAAAGAACAACGGUCCUCGAAGGCACAUAAACAUAAGGAAGACAGUGUUCGACACACUGAUCAGCCACCAGCUCAUAAAUUGCCACCUGAGAGCGUAGAGGAGUCCACAGGGCAGAGUGGCAAUGUGGCUGCUGCUGCUGUGGAGGCCAUGGAGGUGUCUGUGGGUCAAGAGAGUAGCAGUCCAGGUGAAGAGGUUCUCACUGAGGCUGAAGAGAAAGAUCCUCAGACAGUAUCAGUUAUCAAAGAGGUUCCCGUACACCAGCAAGAGCCAGAUUGCCUGCUAGUUUCACCACAGUCUAAUCACCAGGCUGCAAGAGAGAAGUCUUCACCCAGGGAAGAAAUAUCUGUUCUGCCAAAGACUCAAGACUCCCAUAAAGAGGAACGUUCCUCCACAUCCACCCUCACUAGUUUGGAACAAAGCUGGACUUCACCUCACAAUCUUAUCUCGGCAUCAAACAGCCGCAGCCUUGGAGAGACACCCGGUGAAACGUCACCAGAAAAAAAGAUGAGUGUUGACAAGAUGGGCAAAGGUGAACCUGAAGCAGAGGAGGACUACUCCUCCAAUAAGCUAUGUGAGGAAGAGAAAGCUGAAGUGAAUUCAUACAGACAGCUGUGCUCAGAAAUAAAGAGAUCUGAGAUAACUGAAUUAAGAACAUGUUCACUGGAAAAGAGAAUAGAGCCAUGUCAGUCUAAAACACCAGAUCAUGUUCUUUUGUCUCUGCCUGCAGUGGCAGCUUACGAUAUGGAGAGAGGUGAUGUAAAAGAACAAGCUGAAUGUACUUCACUUCAGGAAACGAAUGUCGGAUUUCCGCCCACUGCAGCGCGAGAGAGUUUAGAGAAGGGUGACCUAAAAAUGCUGCAAGAAUGCACUUCUUCUAUAGGAGAGGAAAGCACUGCAGUCCACAAUGUCAAUGCAAUACAGAGUUCAAACACAGGUUUUAGAAGCAGUGAAGAGGGAAGCAAAUUGAAAGAGGUAUUGAUUUCUGCUUUAGAUGUGGAAGUAAACUCUGGUGACAAUCUUAAAACCCAAGAGCAAGUCAUUUUAGAAGGUGAGAGUGCUGAAGUAAGAACUGAGAGUUUACAGCUUGAAGUGGAGACAGAAAAGAGAAAUCCAGUGAAAGAAGAGGAGUUGGAUGAAUCAAAGAGCCUCUCCAUAACACAAAACAAGAUGGGUAAUGUUUAUGUUUUGGAGGAACACAUUAAUGUUUCACAUCAAGAGAGCAGAGAGACACCACAGUGUCAGCCCUCAGCCAAUAUCCCACAGAUCCAAAUAUCUACUAUUGAUGAUACCCCAGAUAUUAAACCAACUGUGGCAGGUGUUAAACCAAAAGAGCAUUUUAUAAUCUCAAAAAUUGAAAUAAUGGAGCCAGAGCUCCAAGAGUGCACUCUGCCACUAACUAUUUUGGGACUAAACAAGCAAGAAUCACAGCCAGCUACUUUGCAAAAACAUGAUACAACUAGUGUGUCUCAGGUAAUAAUCCAAGGCCAGAGCUUGACUGAUUCUUCAAGCAUGUUGCCCACGCAGAAAAGUGUGCAGGAUGAUAACAACCUCUCACCCACAGAGAAUGGAAAGGAAGUUGUGCAAUUAGAUGACG
ensembl:lncRNA